GACGAACCGUGCAAACGUUGUUCGGAAUCACUGGGCUUAAAGGGCGCGUAGGCGGGUUCUCAAGUCAGGGGUGAAAUCUUUCAGCUUAACUGGAAAACGGCCCCUGAUACUGGGAGUCUCGAGGGAGAUAGGGGCAUGUGGAACUUCCGGUGGAGCGGUGAAAUGCGUAGAUAUCGGAAGGAACGCCGGUGGCGAAAGCGACGUGCUGGAUCUCUACUGACGCUGAGGCGCGAAAGCCAGGGGAGCAAACGGG
rnacentral:rRNA from 1 species